GCGACGCCGAGCGGAACCCGAAAACCUAGUCUCAGUUCGGAUCGGAGUCUGCAACCCGACUCCGUGAAGCUGGAUUCGCUAGUAAUCGCGCAUCAGCCAUGGCGCGGUGAAUAUGUUCCCGGGCCUUGUACACACCGCCCGUCAAGCCAUGGAAGCCGGGGGUGCCUGAAGUGUGCAGCCGCAAGGAGCGCCCUAAGGUAAAACCGGUGACUGGGGCUAAGUCGUAACAAGGUACC
rnacentral:rRNA from 1 species